GUGCCAGCCGCCGCGGUAAUACCGGCAGCACGAGUGAUGGCCGAUCUUAUUGGGCCUAAAGCGUCCGUAGCCGGCCGAGCGGGUCCGUCGGGAAAUCCACGUGCUCAACGCGUGGGCGUCCGGCGGAAACCACUCGGCUUGGGGCCGGAAGACUCGAGGGGUACGUCUGGGGUAGGAGUGAAAUCCCGUAAUCCUGGACGGACCGCCGAUGGCGAAAGCACCUCGAGAAGACGGACCCGACGGUGAGGGACGAAAGCCAGGGUCUCGAACCGGAUUAGAAACCCGGGUAGUCC
rnacentral:rRNA from 1 species